UACGGGGGGGGGCAAGCGUUGUUCGGAAUUACUGGGCGUAAAGGGCUCGUAGGCGGCCAACUAAGUCGGACGUGAAAUCCCCUCGGCUCAACCGGGGAACUGCGUCCGAUACUGGAUGGCUUGAGUUCGGGAGAGGGAUGCGGAAUUCCAGGUGUAGCGGUGAAAAUGCGUAGAUAUCAGGAGGAACACCGGUGGCGAAG
rnacentral:rRNA from 1 species